rnacentral:rRNA from 1 species
UGGGGAAUAUUGCGCAAUGGGCGAAAGCCUGACGCAGCGACGCCGCGUGAGGGAUGAAGGUUUUCGGAUCGUAAACCUCUGUCAGAAGGGAAGAAACUACAUUGUGCUAAUCAGCAGUGUACUGACGUUACCUUCAAAGGAAGCACCGUCUAACUCCUUCCUAGCAGCCUCGUUAUUACGUAGGUUUCAAUCUUUAUUCGUAUUUCCUUGUCGUAAAGCUCACGUAGGCUGUAGUGUAAGUCAGGGGUGAAAUCCCACGGCUCAACCGUGGAACUGCCUUUGAUACUGCACAACUUGAAUCAGGGAGAGGGUGGCGGAAUUCCAGGUGUAGGAGUGAAAUCCGUAGAUAUAUGGAGGAAAAUCAGUGGCGAAGGCGGCCACCUGGACCGGUAUUGACGCUGAGGUGCGAAAGCGUGGGGAGCAAACAG